rnacentral:tmRNA from 1 species
GGGGUUGACUGGAUUUGACGGCAAGACGAAAUGGUACGUAAGCACGCGGAGCUGGGCUACGGGAGGCUCCCUAAUCUCUUCUGUAGGAAAAUUAAUUGGCAACAAUGAGUAUGCUCUCGCUGCUUAAUCGAAGUAUAGUAGAUUACGAGCUUAAUUUCUUCACAAGGUGAGGAAACGAGACGUCGCUCCAAGGAUCUGGUUCCGAAUCCGAAGAUCAAGCGGCGCAGAUUAAAUCGGAAAUAGUCAGCGUAGGCUCCGAUGCACUGAUGAAGCUUUAGGAGAUAAGGUUCUGGUUGGUGGCCCAGGUCUUGCCAGAACACGAAAACGAAGGCUGGGAUAAGCGUGUAGAAAGCGUAUGGUUUCCUUGUGCGGACGAGGGUUCGACUCCCUCCAGCUCCACUA